GUCUCUGUGGCGCAAUCGGUUAGCUGCUCGCGGCUGUUAACCGAAAGGUUGGUGGUUCGAGCCCACCCAGGGACG